rnacentral:rRNA from 1 species
GGUGAACGCUGGCGGCGUGCUCAAGACAUGCAAGUCGAACGGCAGUCUUCGGACUGUAAUGGCGCACGGGUGAGUAACGCGUAACUGACCUACCCCAAAGUCGCGGAUAACGAUUCGAAAGAAUCGCUAAUACGUGAUGUGCUGUCAGAUUGUGUUCUGCCAGUAAAGAUUGAUUGCUUUGGGAUGGGGUUGCGUUCCAUCAGCUAGUUGGUGGGGUAAAGGCCCACCAAGGCGACGACGGAUAGCCGGCCUGAGAGGGUGGCCGGCCACAGGGGCACUGAGACACGGGUCCCACUCCUACGGGAGGCAGCAGUUAGGAAUCUUCCACAAUGGGCGAAAGCCUGAUGGAGCGACGCCGCGUGAGGGAUGAAGGUCCUCGGAUCGUAAACCUCUGAAUCAGGGACGAAAGACACUUCGGUGGGAUGACGGUACCUGAGUAAUAGCACCGGCUAACUCCGUGCCAGCCGCCGCCGUAAAAC